rnacentral:rRNA from 1 species
GACGGACGCUGGCGGCGUGCUUAACACAUGCAAGUCGAACGGAAAGGCCCUGCUUUUGUGGGGUGCUCGAGUGGCGAACGGGUGAGUAACACGUGAGUAACCUGCCCUUGACUUUGGGAUAACUUCAGGAAACUGGGGCUAAUACCGGAUAGGAGCUCCUGCUGCAUGGUGGGGGUUGGAAAGUUUCGGCGGUUGGGGAUGGACUCGCGGCUUAUCAGCUUGUUGGUGGGGUAGUGGCUUACCAAGGCUUUGACGGGUAGCCGGCCUGAGAGGGUGAACGGCCACAUUGGGACUGAGAUACGGCCCAGACUCCUACGGGAGGCAGCAGUGGGGAAUAUUGCACAAUGGGCGGAAGCCUGAUGCAGCAACGCCGCGUGCGGGAUGACGGCCUUCGGGUUGUAAACCGCUUUCGCCUGUGACGAAGCGUGAGUGACGGUAAUGGGUAAAGAAGCACCGGCUAACUACGUG